AGAGAGACUGCAGGACCAUCACAAUCAGGAGCUCAGUCAGCUGCACAGCAGGAUCCAGCAGCUGGAAGAGCGUCUGGACUGCGUCACCAGGGAGAAGAUGCAGUACGAGAGAGAGUUUAAGAAGGUGCAGUGCAGUUACAGGCAGUUUGUGGACCUGACUGACUCCUCCCUCCACUCGGACUACCUGCUGCGCCUGCGUGGUCUGGGUAAGGAGCCUGGUUUCACUGAGACUGAGGUGCAGACUUAUGACAUCAUCACUGUGUGACCUUCUUCUGCCUGGUCUAACUCUCACUGCCCUCUGAACUCAGAGACGCCCCCCCCAUCCAGGGUGGUCUGACACUCACUGAAAAUGUUUUGGAACAGCAGACUACUCUCCUUGUUUAUUCAUACCCCUGGGAAAUUUGAACAAAAACAUAAUACAGCAUGUCUUAUUGUCCUGUUUCUAGAGUUAUCUAAAAAGAGCAGCAUUAUGUUUUCCAAAGGAUUACGUCCAAAGAUUAUUACAAAAUUACCCUUACCCCUCAGUACCUACAAACAAAAUUCUGCAAAAAUAAACUGCAUCAACAUUAUGUUGUCUAGAACUUCUCAGAAAUUUCCAAAAACAUGUCUUAACAUUGGGCGUAAAAUGAGGCUCCACACAGAAACAGUACAUUAGUAGCAUGAGAGAGUGAGGCUACGGUGUGUGG